AGUAUCUGGGAUGCUGCACUGGCCCAGCCAUGUUCAAAGGAAGCCCUUGAGGCAUUUCACAAGACUCAUUAAAGUGGCUUCAACCCACCGACCCCUUCCUGGGGACUGAGGAGCUUAGUGUCGUGACAGGGAGCGUGUUAUACAGACCAGUGACAGAGACCACACCAGUGUCAUCACUGAACUGUGUAUUGCAAUUGCUACAUUUUGCUGAGAGUAAUUAGAUCUGCAUGGAGUUAGCAGAAUAUUUGUAUCCCUCUGCUAAAUCACAAGCCUUGUGUGACAUUAAAUACCUUCAAGUAAGCAAAGCGGGUUUUAAACGAUAUCCCCUCCACCUGUGCACUACCUAAAUCAAUCCUGCUGGCAACCCUGCACAGGGAGUGUGCAGCAGUGUUGGCUGAUGCCUUCAGCCCCACCCUUUCCUGGGGGUCUUUCCUCAAGGAUGGCAUAAGUUACACUUGGUGCAAUGGCUCAAGAGGGAAGAACUCAUCUUGCAGACAGAGGAUGAAGGGGCUCAAGUGAGUGGGAAGACAAGACGGGACACACAGACAGAGUCUUCCCAUGCCACGUUUGCUCUCCUCCAGCUCCUAAGGAUGCAAUUUAUACUGAUUUGAAAAAGAGCUGCUGUACUGCAGGGCUGCUGCUAUCACAGCUGCUUCCAGGACAGGACCACUGCCUGUGACCAGCCACCUGCCUGCCUUGUGCCAAGCUCACCUUGCCCCGUGGGCUCACUAUUUGCCCUUGCAUCAUAGUUGUGACUCCAGAAAACAAUGCCAGCAGAGAACAUACCAUUUAUCCAUUGCCUUGUCCUGUUUAAAUCAUUUUUUAGGGCAUACUGGCAUGUAGUUGGUCCCAUCCAUGGCCGUCAGGGAGGAAUUAGUUCUACCACGUACAAACUUCUCCCUUCAAAUACGCCUCCUCUCAUUUCAAACAAGCCCCUUCAGUGCUGGCAUAGCAGAGCUGGGCUUUGAACUACAUGUGAACAUUCACUGAAGGUAGCCACUUUAAACCCUGCUUCAGUAUCAGCAUCUGGUCUCUCAGCCUUUACACAACCUUCAGCACUCAGCUCUUUGCACACAGAGACUUCAUCUAUAGACUAGGCACAACUCACCUGGUUGGUGAUAUCCUGGACUUCUUCAGUAGCAGGCCUGGGGGAAGAGAAGCCCCCAAGGACAGGUAACUUCUUUGACAUGACAGGUGGUUCUGAAGAGGGAAGUUUAGCACAGUCUGAGCAGAGUCACCAGGCAUCUUGCAUAUAUAUAUAUAUAUAUAUAUAUAUAUAUAUAUAUAUAUAUACACACACACAUACACAUAGACGUGCGUGUUGAAUUAGAGUAAGAAAUCUGUCAGAAAAUAAACCCCCCUGCAUUCCAGCUGGGCCUUGGGGCAACAGGGGCUGGGUAUGGCUACACUUAAUUUAGGAUUAGAAGCAAGUCAUCACUGUAACUCUAGUCAUGUUCAAUAGGAACUUCCACGAGCACAGAUUCACAAAUAGUGUGGUUUACACUUUGAUUGCAAUCAAGGAGAACUUCUGCGCUCACAGAUUCACAAACAGUUCGGUUUAUUGAAGCAACAGAAAUUCAGAUUUGAAAUUGCCAUUGGUAAAUGCACCUGCUGCAACAAAGCUCUAACAGUAAUAAUAAUGUUUUACUAACCCGGGGUAUAGUAACAAUCAGACACAAAGGCUUACCACCAAGACGUUCCUGCUUGGGAUGAGAGAGAGGAGAGUAGUCCGUUGACUGUCCCUGAGGUCUUUUUGGGUCUUCCCCGUACUUCGAUGAAGUUUCUACCCUCCUUAUAUAUAGCCCAAUUGUCUCCUCCUCCUCCUGUUACGUAUGGCGUGAUAGAAGUGGAGAGCUGAGUAACAUAGUCGUGUGGUAGCCCAUACUUCAUUAACCUUAUUGACAUAUGCAGGGGGGUUGCAUUUCCUGUUCAAUGAAUCUUAAUUUUUGGGCCUGGUAUGCUUCAAGAUUCCGGUGUUACGAUUUUGUUCUGGUCUGUUCUGUUUGUCAGAGCCAAAAGAUGAUCCUGGCUCCACUGAAAUAGAAAUGAAAGUGAAAUAAAAUUUAGCUAUGUUAAUUUAGCUAUGUAAGUGUGACUUUGCAAAAUGUAAAACUGCUUAAAAGUUUCUGCCCAAACUGUGGGCAAUUAAGAUAAAAAUAGCUUAGGGAUCAGGGAAUGCUUUUCAGCACGUAGACAGGGGUGGGGAACCUGAAACUGUUUGAAAUGAUAAAACUUUAGGUAACUACUCUAUAAUGGUAAGAAUAGGAGGUAAAACUAAGUGUCUAUUUAGAUAAGGCAGACUGCAAGAAAAGUGUGUGUAUAGAUCAUUUUAAACUUGCUACUUUCAAACUGUAGAAAAAGUUAUGGUAUUCCUUUGCUCAGUGGAGUGCACUGGGGAAAACAUCUGCCCCUUUCGCAUUCCCCGGCCGUAAUAAAUUGCUUUUCAGAUUGUUCAAA